rnacentral:rRNA from 1 species
GUGGACGCCAGUCUGCAUGGAGCCGACCUUGAAAUACCACCCUUUAAUGUUUGAUGUUCUAACGUGGACCCGUAAUCCGGGUUGCGGACAGUGUCUGGUGGGUAGUUUGACUGGGGCGGUCUCCUCCUAAAGAGUAACGGAGGAGCACGAAGGUUGGCUAAUCCUGGUCGGACAUCAGGAGGUUAGUGCAAUGGCAUAAGCCAGCUUGACUGCGAGCGUGACGGCGCGAGCAGGUGCGAAAGCAGGUCAUAGUGAUCCGGUGGUUCUGAAUGGAAGGGCCAUCGCUCAACGGAUAAAAGGUACUCCGGGGAUAACAGGCUGAUACCGCCCAAGAGUUCAUAUCGACGGCGGUGUUUGGCACCUCGAUGUCGGCUCAUCACAUCCUGGGGCUGAAGUAGGUCCCAAGGGUAUGGCUGUUCGCCAUUUAAAGUGGUACGCGAGCUGGGUUUAGAACGUCGUGAGACAGUUCGGUCCCUAUCUGCCGUGGGCGCUGGAGAACUGAGGGGGGCUGCUCCUAGUACGAGAGGACCGGAGUGGACGCAUCACUGGUGUUCGGGUUGUCAUGCCAAUGGCACUGCCCGGUAGCUAAAUGCGGAAGAGAUAAGUGCUGAAAGCAUCUAAGCACGAAACUUGCCCCGAGAUGAGUUCUCCCUGAGACUU